AACGAACGCUGGCGGCAGGCCUAACACAUGCAAGUCGAGCGAGGACUUCGGUUCUAGCGGCGGACGGGUGAGUAACGCGUGGGAAUGUGCCCUUCUCUACGGAAUAGCCGUGGGAAACUGGGAGUAAUACCGUAUACGCCCUAUUGGGGAAAGAUUUAUCGGGGAAGGAUCAGCCCGCGUUGGCUUGGGUGGUUGGUGGGGUAAUGGCCUACCAACCAGACGUUGCAUAGCUGGUUGGAUAGGAUGAUCCGCCACACUGGGGCUGAGACACGGCCCAGACUCCUACGCGAGGGAGCGGUAGGGAGUCUUAGGCGAUGGGGGCAAACCUAGUAUCGCCGUGCCCCGGAAGAGAUGAAUGCCUUAGGGUUGUAAAGCUCUUUCAGCUGGGAAGAUAAUGACGGUACCAGCAGAAGAAGCCCCGGCUAACUCCGUG
rnacentral:rRNA from 1 species